GAUGAACGCUGGCGGCGUGCCUAAUACAUGCAAGUCGAGCGAACAGAUAAGGAGCUUGCUCCUUUGACGUUAGCGGCGGACGGGUGAGUAACACGUGGAUAACCUACCUAUAAGACUGGGAUAACUUCGGGAAACCGGAGCUAAUACCGGAUAACAUAUUGAACCGCAUGGUUCAAUAGUGAAAGGCGGCUUUGCUGUCACUUAUAGAUGGAUCCGCGCCGUAUUAGCUAGUUGGUAAGGUAACGGCUUACCAAGGCAACGAUACGUAGCCGACCUGAGAGGGUGAUCGGCCACACUGGAACUGAGACACGGUCCAGACUCCUACGGGAGGCAGCAGUAGGGAAUCUUCCGCAAUGGGCGAAAGCCUGACGGAGCAACGCCGCGUGAGUGAUGAAGGUCUUCGGAUCGUAAAACUCUGUUAUCAGGGAAGAACAAAUGUGUAAGUAACUGUGCACAUAUUGACGGUACCUGAUCAGAAAGCCACGGCUAACUACGUG
rnacentral:rRNA from 1 species